UCAUAAAGGAAAAAGUGAGCAUUUUUUUUAACCUAAGUUUUAGCUUCUUUAUUACAUUUUUAGAUUGUACUCAUUCAAGAACUCUUCCAGAUGAACUCCUUGAAGCAGUGAGCCUCUCCAACAAGGCUGAUCUUGGUGAUACUGCAGUGAAGCUCUCUAUACUCUGAAGCUGAAGAGAACUAAGCUCCUGCUUGGGGACAAAGUCAGUACCAAAAUUCCUGCUGAUUUCAGAGCAAGAAGUGGAGUUUAUGAACAACAAAGCCCAGUCUAAAGCAAACCUGAAUGACUAUUAUUUGCAGCACAGUCUGAGGUAAAGCAUUCAACAGAGGCAUGGUGAAAGUUUCCCAGUAUGAAUACCGGGAAGGUUAUUGAUUAGGCUGCAGCUUAUAUGCUUUCUGCUGUGGAGUGGAUUUGAUUUCAAAAUAGCUGUAAGUGGAUGAUAAGAAUCCUGGGUUUUCAGUGCCACUUAAGCUACGAGGAAGAAGUGGAAGUCUGUUAUAACUUGCACCAUGCACGUAAAUUGACUGUUGUUCCUCUGUGCCUUGUCCUGGAGCCUUUCCUCUUCCCUGGAUUCUUGUUCACAUUCUGUGUCCAGGCUCUCUGUGAGGCUGGCCUCCUCCCUGCACCUCCAGUCACGGAAAAGGAUGAGGCUGAUGGUACCUUCAGGGUGACCUGUGGAUGAGAUAAUCCCUGCAGAAGCAAGUAAGCAGACAUCUUUAAGGCUUUGUAGAAAAAAAAGAAAAAGUUU
rnacentral:lncRNA from 1 species